GAGUUUGAUCUUGGCUCAGAACGAACGCUGGCGGCAGGCUUAACACAUGCAAGUCGAGCGCUGUAGCAAUACAGAGCGGCGCACGGGAGAGUAAUACGUGGGAACCUACCUUUUGGUUCGGAAUAACGUCGGGAAACUGACGCUAAUACCGGAUAAGCCCUUACGGGGAAAGAUUUAUCGCCGAUAGAUGGGCCCACGUUGGAUUAGCUAGUUGGUGAGGUAACGGCUCACCAAGGCAACGAUCCAUAGCUGGUCUGAGAGGAUGAUCAGCCUCACUGGGACUGAGACACGGCCCAGACUCCUACGGGAGGCAGCAGUGGGGAAUAUUGGACAAUGGGGGCAACCCUGAUCCAGCCAUGCCGCGUGAGUGAUGAAGGCCUUC
rnacentral:rRNA from 1 species